GGUUUCCUCAGGGUAAGUUUGACUUUUCGCCAACAUAUUCGCCAAUCAGAAAAAAUUUGCUAUAAGUUAGUCAAUGUUUCUAUGUGCUAAUCCAUUUUUAUAUAUAUAAUUUUAAUACUUACUACUUUCAUGUUCUAUAAAUUUGUUAUAUUUGUUUAAUUUUAAUAUGUCUUAAAAUUAUUAUAUUAGCUAUAUUAAUAAAUACUAUUUUUUUAUGUUUUCAUUAAUUUUCUUUAUUAUAAUUACUAAUUUGUCUUUUGUAUACUUUAAACCUUUCAUAUAGAAAUUACUUGUUUAAUCAUAGAGGUUAAGGCCAUAAUUAAAAAUUUGUUUGUUUGCAGUGCUCCGACCGACCCGUCAAAAUGGCCCCGACUCAAAAAAUUUUAUAGCUGUAUCCGUGAGAAAAAAAUUUUUUUUUCGCACUUUUCGGUCCGUUCCGUUAAAAAGUGCUCUUUCCGUUUCUUUUUUAUUAGUACUUUCCGAAUAUUUUCCGCACAUGCGCGUUCGUUAUUUUUGAUUCAAUAUGGCAGCCUCCACUUCCAGUGGGAGCUGUACGACCGGCGAAGUGACAUUUUCCGUUUCUGUCAACUUGAUUAAUGAAAAAGACAACUCAAAUACCUGUAUUGUGAAAAAUGCAAUAAGGAAAUUUGCAACCGACUACACAUGGUUCGACGUAUUCGAUAUAUCGACCGAAUCAGCGGAUAUACCACAAGACGUAAUCGACGACUUUGAGAAAAAUGCUAAAGUAAAUGUGCAAAGAAGUACUGGAACUGAAACUUUUGAUGCUAAUCCUUAUGAUAAAAUCAGUAUACUGACAGACUUUGAUCGAUCACUUAGAUAUGUUACAAUAAACGUGAAAAGUACUCUGGUUUCUGGUGAUGCCUCUGUCUCAACUGACACUUGUAAUACCAAUGUAUUUAAUGUCCUUAUGGGUAAUCGUACAAAGAAGACAGCUCCACCAAAGUUAUCCGAGGAAAAAACUAGAUUCACAGGUAUUUUCUUAUAUAUAAGUGCUAUGUUUGUUGUUUUUUUUUCCAUUUAAUUUUUUAAUUUCAAAACUCCAUUGAAGUUCUAAUGUUUUUUCAGUAUAUAUUGAAAAUGUUUACUUCUGUCAGACAAGCUUUGUUCAUAUUAGUCCCAGUUUCGAAAUUUCAGUAUAUAUAUUUCAUUAUUUUGCGGACAAAUAAUACAUUUAAUAUUGAUAAUCUCUCACCACCUCGGUGUAUUAAGUUUCGGCAAAAUUUGUCGUUAGUCUGCAGUGAAAUGCAGGUGUCUGUCCUGACAAUGUACAUGUCAGAAUAAUAACACACUAAAAAUACUGUAUUAAAAGCUUGUGUUGAUUCGUUCGUUUAAUAUAUGCAUAAAACAUUCAGCCACAUUUAAUGAAUAUGCAUAUACAAUUUCUAAUCUGUCAGACAGCAAAAAGUUUGUGAUUUUAAAAUGAUAUGUUGAAAUUUAAUAUUUUCUUCUUUUUAAAUUCAGCUAGACAGAUUAUACAAUGAUUUGAUAGAUGACGCCAAGGAGAUUGAAUUUCCAGUAGUUCUUCCAAAAGAUGAAAUGACACGCCGUUUGAUGGUCAUAGUAGAUGCUCUAUGGUAUAUAGACGGAAACCAAGAAAAAAUAAACAACAGAUUAGAAGCCAACCAAACAAUACCUCAGAGGUUCAGUAAGUACUCUGGAUACAAUGAUUAUAAAAAGAAGCGCAAAGCAGCACCACAAUUAUCGUCGCCAGAGCUGAAACGACAUGCUAGCCUGUUAUAUGGUCUGUCUUCGUCUACACAUGCUGUGUCAUGGGGUGAUUUUACAAAGGAGUUAGACUCCUUGGCUUUAAGCUUACAAUCAUAUGCCUCCUUUCUAGAACAAAGUAAUGAAAAACAAAAGUACAGACAAUCCUUGACACAUCCAACAAGACCAUGUGGAGAUCACGCAAGUAUCCAAGAUUUUCCAAGUUGUAAGGGCCCUAUUAAAGCAUGUUACAGUGUAUUAGAUGAGGUGAUUAAAGAGACAGAAGAGUACAAACCAGUAUAUUUUGAUGAAUUUUUACAUGUCAAAGAACCAUUUAAAGAUCAAUUCCAGAGAAGAAAUUUCUUGAAAGGUUUAUCACUUACCUAUCCUAUUGAUAUGUUAAGUUACGAUCCUGGAGCAGGAUUAGGGAAAACAGUGUUCAUAUGGCGGGUACCAGAGAGUCGUUCCUCUGUAGAAAUGAUUAGUUCAGGUGCUAAGGUUUUCAAAAGUCUAGAAAAAAGACUGCCAGAAUACCACACAAGGGAGAUGAGGAAGGAAUUUGUUCGAAGCUAUCAAAGUUUAGUUGAUGUUCCACAACAUGUCUUAAGGGCAAUAUACUCAGAUUUGACUUUGGAUGCUACUGCAUGCCAAAACCCUGCUAUAGAGGCAAGACUCCGCCAAGCAUUACUUACAGGCGAUCCUGAUAUAGCUAUUGAUCUGAGAGCUUUAAAUAAAGGUAGGCCAGAUGAUACAUUCAAUGUCUUCUUUGAGCAACUGGAGAAAGAAAUAGCUUCAGUUACAGCAACUGACGAGCGUAGACAUGAUAGUGUGCAACAUUUUAGUAAGUACAUAUCUGUCAGAGAUUUAAUCAAUCAGACUGCUAAACAAUGUCCAGAAGGCACUCCAAUACCUUCUGAAAGUACAGUCCUCUUCGCCUUUGUGCCUAAAAAUGCAUAUAAAACAGUGCAAAGCUCUAUAAAGGUCGCAUAAACUUGCAACAUAAAGUCCAAACCAGACAACUACGUGCUUCUCACAUUGAUGAGCACUACUGUGCAGCAAUUUUCAGUUACGUGAAAAGGUAUGCUGUAUUGUUUAAAGACAAUACUUCACUCUUAUGUUUGGAUGAUAAAUCAAAAGUUGAUUUUGGGGAACCCGGGUUAGCCAUUUCAACAGGUGUUCGAGGAAAAAAGUCAUUGGUUCCAUGUUCUUCAGUCUUGGGAGCACUAGAUCAUGAUGUAGGUUCAAAGGGAUCCUUAACUCCAUCUGUAUGUCUCCAGGUCGAUAUUCCUAAUGAUGUGAAGGAAAGUUUCUACAGAGGGCAAGUUCAUGUAACAUUAAAGGACUCUGUUUUUCAGCCUUCAUCGCCCUUCAGACAUGCUACUGAACUCCAGAAAAUUUUGAAACCUAGUGAUGAAGUCAGUCCAAAUCCGUAUCUAUUACUUUUUACAGAUGGGGGACCUGAUCAUCGCACCACCUAAGCAGCAGUCAAACUGUCUCUAAUUAUCUUGUUCAAGCUAUUAGAUUUGGACAUUUUAGUAGCUGCUAGAACAGCACCUGGUCAUUCAUGGAGUAAUCCCGCAGAGAGAAUAAUGAGCUUAUUGAACCUUGCAUACCAGAAUGUAGCGUUGUAUAGAUCUGAAAUGCAAAGCCAUUAUGAACAAAUACUUAAAGCAUGUAAUUCGAUGAGUGACAUAAGGAAAAGGGCAGAAAAAGAAUCUAAUCUUGAGGAGUCUUGGUUAAAAGCUCUUGAUCCGAUAGUAGAUAUAUUGAAUGAAAGGACUGAACGCGUACAGCUUAAAGGAAAAUCCUUCAAAAGUGGUAUUCCGGCAACAAAGCAAGAAGUUUGCGACUUUGAGAAAAAUAUACAUCGGCUGGUUGACCCAGAUAUCACACUUGGGAAAUACACAAAAAAUGACCUGAAGCAAGCUGAUGGGUAUAAGAAUUUCAUAGACACACAUUGUCGUGAGAGGAACUAUAUUUUCCAGGAACUUUAAAGGAAUGUACGGAAAUGUGAUCAAAACACUUGUUGUCUCCCAAUAAGGAAUCCAUCUGGUGUUGUGCCACCGUUCCUGCCAGAUCCUGAAAUCAACCCCUUAGAUAGAGAGCAUUACAAGGCAUUUGAAGAUUCUCUCAA
rnacentral:misc_RNA from 1 species